UGCUGACUGAUUCGUGGCAGUCUGGGUUUUUUUCAAACUUAGAAAGCCACCCAAACACACAAUCACUGAGUAAUUACCAUACAUGUCUAGGACCUAAAUAAAUAAAAGUGCUUGCCCUGCACUUUUCUGAUCCAAAGCAUAGUAGACUCUGAGUAAUCACUUCUAAACCUGUGUUUCAGAUGUUUGUGUUGCUUUCCUGGGCUGGCCAACAAGAAAGCUGAGGUGGAGGAUGAGUCUGAUGUCCUGGAAAAGCCAUAGAGUCAGAAUGAGAGAGCACAGCUAAGCAGGGAGAUGGAUGGCCACUCACUCUGCAUGGAGCAGCAGGACAUCGGAGUCUUGUCACCUGGAGCCAUCUCUCAUCCCCAAAACUGAACGACCAUUGCUGGGUAUGGCAGGAUGCAAAGACCUGGUGAGCUACCCCUUCUGUGUCCAAUGGAGAAAGGCUGGAAAGCUGCUAAAAAGGGGAAAGAACAGGCCAAUGUCCU
rnacentral:lncRNA from 1 species